rnacentral:rRNA from 1 species
GACCGAUAGUGAACCAGUACCGUGAGGGAAAGUGAAAAGUACUUCGAAUAGAAUGGUGAAAUAGAUCCUGAAACCAUACGCUUACAAUCUGUCGGAGCCUCCUAGUGGGGUGACGACGUGCCUUUUGCAUAAUGAACCUACGAGUUAAUUUUUCCGGCAAGGUUAAGUAGUUCAGCUAUGGAGCCGUAGCGAAAGCGAGUCUGAAUAGGGCAUUUAGUCGGAAGGAUUAGACGCGAAACCGAGUGAUCUACCCAUGAGCAGGUUGAAGCUGUGGUAACACAUAGUGGAGGACCGAACCGGUUGACGUUGAAAAGUCUUCGGAUGACUUGUGGGUAGGGGUGAAAGGCCAAUCAAACUCGGAGAUAGCUCGUACUCCCCGAAAUGCAUUUAGGUGCAGCAUCGUGUUAAAUAAAACAGAGGUAGAGCUACUGAUUGGAUGAAGGGGUUUCAUCGCCUACUAAUUCCUGAUAAACUCCGAAUGCUGUUAUUAUGUUUCACGGUAGUGAGGGCAUGGGUGCUAAGGUCCAUGUCCAAGAGGGAAACAACCCAGACCAUCAGUUAAGGCCCCCAAGUAUAUAUUAAGUUGUAUAAACAAAGUUAAUCACACAGACAGCUAGGGAUGUUGGCUUAGAAGCAG